UGGGGAAUUUUGGACAAUGGGCGAAAGCCUGAUCCAGCAAUGCCGCGUGUGUGAAGAAGGCCUUCGGGUUGUAAAGCACUUUUGUCCGGAAAGAAAUCCUUGGCUCUAAUACAGUCGGGGGAUGACGGUACCGGAAGAAUAAGCACCGGCUAACUACGUGCCAGCAGCCGCGGUAAUACGUAGGGUGCAAGCGUUAAUCGGAAUUACUGGGCGUAAAGCGUGCGCAGGCGGUUUGCUAAGACCGAUGUGAAAUCCCCGGGCUCAACCUGGGAACUGCAUUCGUGACUGCAAGGCUAGAGUAUGGCAGAGGGGGGUAGAAUUCCACGUGUAGCAGUGAAAUGCGUAGAGAUGUGGAGGAAUACCGAUGGCGAAGGCAGCCCCCUGGGCCAAUACUGACGCUCAUGCACGAAAGCGUGGGGAGCAAAACAGGAUUAGAUACCCUGGUAGUCCACGCCCUAAACGAUGUCAACUAGUUGUUGGGGAUUCAUUUCCUUAGUAACGUAGCUAACGCGUGAAGUUGACCGCCUGGGGAGUACGGUCGCAAGAUUAAAACUCAAAGGAAUUGACGGGGUCAUAGCUG
rnacentral:rRNA from 1 species